rnacentral:rRNA from 1 species
UCGCCUACGGGGCGCAGCAGUGGGGGAUAUUGCACAAUGGGGGGAACCCUGAUGCAGCGACGCCGCGUGGGUGAAGGAGCGUUUCGGCGCGUAAAGCCCUAUCGGCAGGGAAGAAGAUGACGGUACCUGACCAAGAAGCCCCGGCUAACUACGUGCCAGCAGCCGCGGUAAUACGUAGGGGGCAAGCGUUAUCCGGAUUUACUGGGUGUAAAGGGAGCGUAGACGGUGUGGCAAGUCUGAAGUGAAAGCCCGGGGCUCAACCCCGGGACUGCUUUGGAAACUGUCAUGCUGGAGAGGUAAGCGGA